rnacentral:tRNA from 1 species
CCUAUAAGUAUGUCUUAUGACAUACUUAUUAAAUAAAUAAACACACAAUUCCUUUGUGUGU